ensembl:miRNA cja-mir-3688 cja-mir-3688
UUCUUCACUUUCAAGAGUGGCAAAGUCUUUCCAUAUGUAUGUAUGUAUGUUACACAUAUGGAAAGACUUCACCACUCUUGAAAGUGAAAGAG